rnacentral:lncRNA from 1 species
GAAGAAUAAACAUGUAGUGGAGAGUCAGAAUUUAAACAAGGAGAGACAUACCAGUUUCAGAGUAAGUAAGCAAAGAGAAAAGCAGGAUUUCUUUCAGCCAAACCACAAUCAGAGAAGAAAGCUUUAAGCUUGUGAGUUCAGAGAAAUCGAAGGUUUAAGAAAUUCUAAGUGUAUUUGAGAGAAGAAGUAGUGACUUGUUCUGUUAGAACUUGCUUGAAAGAGAAAAUGGUACAAGUAUUUAUAGCUUUGAAAACGGGCAGAAAAUUAGGUAACAAAUAAGGUUUCAACACAAUCAUGG